UUUAGAGGAACAUCAACACAAAGAGAGUAAAAGCUUCAGCUUCACCAUCAUUUCAGUUGAAAACCAGAUAGAACGCAAGCAACUAUAUUAAUAUACUUAUUUAUAUGCCUCAAAGGGAUCUCAGGACAAGAUUCACUGUAUCAAUUUCAAAAGAUAAAUUUAAGAUGAAAGGACGAAACCUGAUUCUAUUGUUCCUUUUAAUUGCAGCUUCUGCUACAACUGUAGCUCCCACCACAACUGCACCUCCAACAACUGUAGCCCCAACAGCAGCUCCAACAACAACUGUAGCCACAACAACAGUAGCUCCAACAACAACUGUGGCCACAACUAAAGCUGCAGCCCCCACUACAACUGCACCUCCAACAACUGUAGCCCCAACAACAGUAGCUCCAACAACUGUGGCCGCAACAACAGUAGCUCCAACAACUGUAGCUCCAACAACAACUGUGGCCAAAACUACAACUGCAGCCCCCACUACAACUGCAGCCCCAACAACAGCAGCUCCAACAAAAACUGUAGCUGCAACAACUGCAGCCCCGACAACUGUAGCUCCAACAACAACUCUAGCCGCAACUACUGCAGCCCCUACAACAACUGCAGCCCCUACAACUGCAGCACCCACUGCAACUGCAGCCUCGACAACUGCAGCC